GGACGGGUGGCCGAGUGGUUUAAGGCGCACGCCUGGAGAGCGUGUGGGCGCCAAAAACGCCUCGUGGGUUCGAAUCCCACCCCGUCCG
rnacentral:tRNA from 1 species